rnacentral:rRNA from 1 species
CGUUAAAUGAAUGCCUAAACAUUAAAAUUUAAAUACGGACGUUUUAUUAACGAAAUGUUAUAGUGAGUAUUAUUAAAAUGCUGAGAUCUAUAAUUAUCCGUGUCAGAAAACUGAGCUUUGUAAGUUAAGUUUUUUAUAUCAAUUUUAAAUUGGUUAUAAAAAUCAAAAAUUUAGUGAACUGAAUCAUCUAAGUAACUAAAUAAAAAAAUCAACCGAGAUGCUGUAAGUAGUGGCGAGCGAAAGCAGUAAAGACUAUAAAAAUAAUUUGAACUAUUUAUUGAAUCAUAAUGAGCCAUAGAAGGUUAUAAACAAACUUUAAAAGUAUGUAUAAAUUAGCCCUGUAAUUGUUUAAAGUUUAAAAUUAUUUUUGUUUAAGUAAAUUGAUGCAAGUCGCGCAUUGAUUAAAUAAUGGGGGCCCACCCUCAAGUCUAAAAAGUUUUAAUGAUUGAUAGCGUAUAGUACCGUGAGGGAAAGGUGAAAUAGAAUUUAUUAAUUUAAAUCUUAAAAAUACUGAAAUUUAAUGUUGACAAGCAAUUGAAGCUUUUAAAAAGUAACAAUGUACCUUUUGCAUAAUGGAUCAACGAGUUUAUUUUAGUGGCGAGCUUAAACAGUGAAUUAAUGUGUAGGCGAAAAGAAAUUAAGUUUUAAAAGGCUUUUAAGUCUCUAAAAUAAGACCCGAAACUAAAUGAUCUAACCAUGAUCAGGCUGAAUUUAUAGCGGUAACGCUUAUUGGAGGGCUGAACCCUUACAUGUGGAAAAAUGUUGGGAUGAAUUGUGGUUAGGGGUGAAAGGCCAAUCAAAUUUAGAGAUAGCUGGUUUUCUGCGAAAUCUAUUUAAGUAGAGCGUUUAAAAACUUUAUUUUGGGGUAGAGCACUCGAUAAAUGAUGGGAGCGUAAAGUUUUACUGAAUUUAAUGAAACUACGAAUACAAAGUAAAAGAUAUUAAACAGACAGACUUUGAGUGCUAAGAUUCAUAGUCAAGAGGGAAACAGCCCAGAUUAUUCGUUAAGGUCCUUAAAAAUAAUUAAGUGAAAAAAUUGUAAAAAAUUAAAGACAAUCGGUAGGUAGGCUUGGAAGCAGCCAUCCUUUAAAGAAAGCGUAACAGCUCACUGAUUUAAAUUUUUUGCAAUGAAAAUGUAUAGGGGCUCAAAUUAUUUACCGAAACGAUAAAUUUAACAAAUAAGUUAAAUGGUAGCAGAACGUUCUGUAAAUCUAAAAAGAUUUAUGGUGACAUAAAUUGAAGAAAUCAGAAUUGAAAAUGUUGAUAUGAGUAGCGAUAAACAAUGUGAAAAACAUUGUCGCCUUAAGUUCAAGGUUUCCAAAGCAAGGCUAAUCCUCUUUGGGUAAAUCGGUCCCUAAAAAUAAAACGAAAGUUUUAAAAUUUGAUGGGUAAAUAAAUCUUUUUUAUAUUCAUUUGCAAGUGACGUGGCAUAAAAAUUAUUUUUAUUAUUUGGUUUUUAAUAAAAGUUUUUGAGUGUUUCCAAGAAAAAGCUUGCAUAAAUUUUUAAAGAACCGUACUCUAAACCGACACAGGUGAACAAGUUGAGUAAAUUAAGGCGCUUGAGUUAAUUAUGUUGAAGGAACUCGGCAAAAUGACUCCGUAACUUCGGGAGAAGGAGUAGCU